rnacentral:rRNA from 1 species
AGAGUUUGAUCCUGGCUCAGGAUGAACGCUGGCGGUCUGCUUAACACAUGCAAGUCGAACGGUUCUCUUCGGAGAAUAGUGGCGGACGGGUGAGUAACGCGUGAGAAUCUGCCUCCAGAACGGGGACAACAGUUGGAAACGACUGCUAAUACCCGAUGAACCGAAAGGGAAAAGAUUAAUCGUCUGGAGAGGAGCUCGCGUCCGAUUAGCUAGUUGGAGUGGUAAAGGCACACCAAGGCGGCGAUCGGUAGCUGGUUUGAGAGGACAAUCAGCCACACUGGGACUGAGACACGGCCCAGACUCCUACGGGAGGCAGCAGUGGGGAAUUUUCCGCAAUGGGCGCAAGCCUGACGGAGCAAGACCGCGUGAGGGAGGAAGGCCUUUGGGUUGUAAACCUCUUUUCUCAGGGAAGAAGCACUGACGGUACCUGAGGAAUAAGCCUCGGCUAACUCCGUGCCAGCAGCCGCGGUAAUACGGAGGAGGCAAGCGUUAUCCGGAAUUAUUGGGCGUAAAGCGUCCGCAGGCGGCAAUUAAAGUCUGCUGUCAAAGACCGGGGCUCAACUCUGGGAAGGCAGUGGAAACUAAAUAGCUAGAGUGCGGUAGGGGUAGAGGGAAUUCCCGGUGUA